rnacentral:rRNA from 1 species
CCUACGGGAGGCAGCAGUGAGGAAUAUUGGUCAAUGGGCGCGAGCCUGAACCAGCCAAGUAGCGUGAAGGAUGACUGCCCUACGGGUUGUAAACUUCUUUUAUAAAGGAAUAAAGUCAGUCACGUGUGCCUUUUUGUAUUUACUUUAUGAAUAAGGAUCGGCGAACUCCGUGCCAGCAGCCGCGGUAAUACGGAGGAUCCGAGCGUUAUCCGGAUUUAUUGGGUUUAAAGGGAGCGUAGAUGGGUUGUUAAGUCAGUUGUGAAAGUUUGGGGCUCAACCGUAAAAUUGCAAUUGAUACUGGCAGCCUUGAGUACAGUUGAGGUAGGCGGAAUUCGAGGUGUAGCGGUGAAAUGCUUAGAGAUCACGAAGAACUCCGAUUGCGAAGGCAGCCUACUAAACGGCCACUGACACUGAUGCGCGAAAGUGUGGGUAUCAAACAGGGUUAGAUACCCGUGUAGUC